UAAGGAAUAUUGGACAAUGGUCGCAAGACUGACCCAGCCAUGCCGCGUGCAGGAAGACGGCCCUAUGGGUUGUAAACUGCUUUUGUACCAGAGAAAACCUAUCCACGUGUAGAUAGCUGAUAGUAUGGUAAGAAUAAGCAUCGGCUAACUUCGUGCCAGCAGCCGCGGUAAGACGAAGGAUGCAAGCGUUAUCCGGAUUCAUUGGGUUUAAAGGGUGCGUAGGCGGGCUUGUAAGUCAGUGGUGAAAUCUCUCAGCUUAACUGAGAAACUGCCAUUGAUACUGCAGGCCUAGAGUAUAGAUGACGUUGGCGGAAUAUGACAUGUAGUGGUGAAAUACUUAGAUAUGUCAUAGAACACCGAUUGCGAAGGCAGCUAACGAAACUAUAACUGACGCUGAGGCACGAAAGUGCGGGGAUCAAACA
rnacentral:rRNA from 1 species